rnacentral:rRNA from 1 species
UACGUAGGGUGCGAGCGUUGCCCGGAUUUAUUGGGCGUAAAGGGCGCGUAGGCGGCCACGCACGUCCGUUGUGAAAUCGCCCGGCUCAACUGGGCGAGGUCGGCGGAUACGGCGUGGCUGGAGCAAGCUAGGGGACAAUGGAAUUCCCGGUGUAGUGGUGGAAUGCGUAGAUAUCGGGAGGAACACCAGUGGCGAAGGCGGUUGCCUGGAGCUUUGCUGACGCUGAGGCGCGAAAGCGUGGGGAGCGAUCCGG